rnacentral:tRNA from 1 species
AGGGAUGUAGCUCAAUGGUAGAGCACUUGCCUACCACGCACAAAGCCCUGAGUUCAGUCCCCAGCACCACAA